rnacentral:lncRNA from 1 species
UCAAUGAUUAGUGUCUAAAAGUGUUUCAAAGAUAUAUCAUUUACAAGGCAUUUUACAUUCACUUUGUUUAAAAACGCUAAUGUUAGUCUCAAAUUCCAAUUCUCAUGCCGUAAAUUCAAUUUCCAUAAAUACAUGGUUAAAAAUGCAAUUAAAAGAAAUACGUAUUUACAUACAUGGUGGCAUGAGUAUUAUACAUUUGAAAGAGUAUCUAUUUGAUGUAUUUCACAUGUAUUUUCAAUUUAUUACAAGUGGAGCAAGUGGAGGAAAAUAAUGUUGAAAAGUCAAAAAUAGUGACUGCCUCAAGCAAGAAGCAGCUGUUGGUAAAAUAAUCAUAACUUGAGCUACAGACAUUUUAUCGAGGUGAUUCAAGUUGGGUUGGAAAGAUAAGGAACGUUUCUACAACUUUCAUGUUUUGGAAGAAGUCAAAUUCGUUUCAUAAGGCAGCCAAAAUUACCGUGCAAAGUCCAGCUUGUUACCUGCCGGAUACAGCUUUGCCUGUGAAGCAGCACUUAUUGUUUUUGUCAUAUAUGGAGUUAUAUAGAUCCAAUGAACCUGAUAUUUGAACCAAUGGAAAGCUAACUCAAGUGGUAAUAAUUUGUCUGUUGAUCAUAAGUCCAAAUUCGCUGUACAAUGUAUCUGAAAAUUGGUAUCAAGUUGCAUGUUCCAGCUGUCUUGAAGCUGGACAGAAACAAGUUGCAUUGCCUACUUGAAUUUUGGAUGUUCCUUUGCCUAUAAAAGGGGACCUUGGCCACGAUUUUGAAGCAUCAAUUCUCUCCACCAUAUUCUAGUUUCCUUCAUUUUCUUUGUAACAUUUCACUAUGUAUUUCUAAACAUUUAGCUAGAGCUAAGGGUGAAACUUUGAUGAAUGUUUAGUAUUGUCUUUGAUCUUUCAUUUUGUUCUUCAAUGUUCAUCUUUUUACUUGGUUGAAGUUUGUGUUCUACAAAUGGUUUUGGUUUGUUAAAGACUUUGAUUUAUUGUUGACAAUUUUGGCACAAUAAAUGCUUAGAUAAUCUCUACAUACCAACAACUUAUUUUGACAUAUUCUCUCAAACAAUUAUCAAGAUCUAUCUUUUAGUAUAUUUGUGGUUAAUGUUUUAUCUUCCAUAUGAGAUCACUCCCUAGUUGAUUUUCAUAUGAGUUAAAUUAAAGAUCAAGNGCAAUUUCUACUCAUUUAUCCGAAGUGAAUCCCCGAUGCUCUAGUGUUUGUCUUCAUUGUAUUUUCACCAACCGUUCACUACUCAUAGACUAGUUCAUUUCCUUCCAAUUCCCUGUGGUUCGACCUCGGACUUCCGAGAUUUACUACUUGCGACAACCUGCACUUGGGUUUGCAACCUUAAAGUUGUAGCAUCUAGCUUGAAUCUCUCAAACCUUUCAAGAGCCUCAUGCUCGAAUUUCAUCAGAUAUAUAUGGCCAUUUCUGAAAUAGUCAUUAGUAAAUGUGACGAAAUAAGAGAAACCUUAUAUAGCAUCAAUUAACAUGGGUCUACAUACAUCACUAUGUAUUAGACCAAUAAUCAUGUAGAUAUUUCUCCCUUUCAAGUAAAAGAAAAUUUGGUCAUUGUACCUAAUAGGCAUAAUUUGCUAUUGUCAAAUGAUUCAAAAUCAAUUCACUCCACAUAUACAUCUCUGUGUAUUUUUGGAAUUCUAUUUCAUAUAGCAAUUUUGCAAUGUCAGAUUCAGGUAUUAUUUAGAUUAUCACUUUUUACCUUUUAACUUCUAUACUCAUUAUAAAAUGCUUAGUAUUUAGAAUAUACAUGUCAUUUUGUAACUUAC